GACGAACGCUGGCGGCGUUCUUAACACAUGCAAGUCGAACGGAAAGGCCCUGCUUUUGUGUGGUGCUCGCGUGGCGAACGGGUGUGUAACACGUGAGUAACCUGCCCUUGACUUUGGGAUAACUUCAGGAAACUGGGUCUAAUACCGGAUAGGAGCUCCUUCUGCAUGGUGGGGGUUGGACAGUUUCGGCGGUUGGGGAUGGACUCGCGGCUUAUCAGCUUGUUGGUGGGGUAGUGGCGUACCAAGGCUUUGACGGGUAGCCGGCCUGAGAGGGUGACCGGCCACAUUGGGACUGAGAUACGGCCCAGACUCCUACGGGAGGCAGCAGUGGGGAAUAUUGCACAAUGGGCGGAAGCCUGAUGCAGCAACGCCGCGUGCGGGAUGACGGCCUUCGGGCUGUAAACCGCUUUCGCCUGUGACGAAGCGUGAGUGACGGUAAUGGGUAAAGAAGCACCGGCUAACUACGUG
rnacentral:rRNA from 1 species